UACGUAGGGGGCAAGCGUUGUCCGGAAUUACUGGGCGUAAAGGGCGCGUAGGCGGUUUGUUAAGUUGGAUGUGAAAACUCUGGGCUUAACCCAGAGCCUGCAUCCAAAACUAGCAGGCUAGAGUUCUGGAGGGGAUAGCGGAAUUCCUGGUGUAGCGGUGAAAUGCGUAGAUAUCGGGAGGAACACCGGUGGCGAAGGCGGUUCUCUGGGCCUGUACUGACGCUGAGGAGCGAAAGCGUGGGGAGCGAACAGG
rnacentral:rRNA from 1 species